GCGGCGAGUGGCGUCAGCGGUUCCGAAAG
rnacentral:piRNA from 1 species